rnacentral:rRNA from 1 species
GCCCAAAACAUGCAAGUCCGAGCGGUAACAGGGGUAGCUUGCUACCUGCUGACGAGCGCCGGAGGGGGAGUAAUGCAUAGGAAUCUGCCCGGUAGUGGGGGAUAACCUGGGGAAACCCAGGCUAAUACCGCAUACGUCCUACGGGAGAAAGGGGGCUCCGGCUCCCGCUAUUGGAUGAGCCUAUGUCGGAUUAGCUAGUUGGUGAGGUAAAGGCUCACCAAGGCAACGAUCCGUAGCUGGUCUGAGAGGAUGAUCAGCCACAUCGGGACUGAGACACGGCCCGAACUCCUACGGGAGGCAGCAGUGGGGAAUAUUGGACAAUGGGGGCAACCCUGAUCCAGCCAUGCCGCGUGUGUGAAGAAGGCCCUCGGGUUGUAAAGCACUUUCAGCGAGGAAGAACGCCUAGUGGUUAAUACCCAUUAGGAAAGACAUCACUCGCAGAAUAAGCACCGGCUAACUCCGUGCCAGCAGCCGCGGUAAUACGGAGGGUGCAAGCGUUAAUCGGAAUUACUGGGCGUAAAGCGCGCGUAGGUGGCUUGAUAAGCCGGUUGUGAAAGCCCCGGGGCUCAACCGGGGAAACGGCAUCCGGAACUGGCCAGGCUAAAGUGCAGGAGAGGAAGGUAGAAUUCCCGGGGUAGCGGUGAAAAUGCGUAAAAAUCGGGGAGGAAUACCAGUGGCGAAGGCGGCCUUCUGGACUGACACUGAACACUGAGGGUGCGAAGGCGUGGGGUAGCAAACAGGGAUUAAUACCCUGGUAGUCCACGCCCGAAAAAGAUGUCACCAACCCGUUGGGGGGCCAAAAGCAUUUUGUGGCGAAAUUUAACGCGAUAAGUCACCCGCCUGGGGAGAACGCCCGCAAGGGUAAAACUCAAAAUAAAUUGACGGGGGGCCCGCACAACGGGGGA